GGUUGUGGCUCAGUGGUAAAGCGCUUGCCUAGCAUGCAUGAGGCACUGGGUUUGAUACCCUGUACCA
rnacentral:tRNA from 1 species